CACUCUAAUGAGACUGCCGGUGACAAACCGGAGGAAGGUGGGGAUGACGUCAAGUCCUCAUGGCCCUUAUGGGUAGGGCUUCACACGUCAUACAAUGGUCGGUACAGAGGGUUGCCAACCCGCGAGGGGGAGCUAAUCCCACAAAGCCGAUCGUAGUCCGGAUCGCAGUCUGCAACUCGACUGCGUGAAGUCGGAAUCGCUAGUAAUCGUGGAUCAGCAUGUCACGGUGAAUACGUUCCCGGGUCUU
rnacentral:rRNA from 1 species